CACGGCCCCUUCCUCCUGACCGACCCUCCCCCUCGUCCUCACGUUCUUCCUCUUCCCCUUCCCCUCCCAUGGCUGCCCACCUUUGAAUCCAAGCUCUACAGCGCCAAAUCCAUGGGGAAGAAUGGGAAAACGGAACAAGGGCGACGAGAGGAGCAAGGAGAGGGCUGGAACAAGGAGGUUUAUGAAAAGGUGGUAGUGCCUCGGAUCGCGUCUAUAGUGGUCAUCUCUUUGUUGGAGGCAAGUAAACGUAGCGGUGGUUGCUACAUGCUUUAACUUGUUAUUUAUCCUACCUCCACUUUUAAAAUUUAAAACCCCAACUAAUAUAAUAUGAUCUAUUUAACCAUGUUCUAA